CGGACGGGUGAGUAAUGUCUGGGAAACUGCCUGAUGGAGGGGGAUAACUACUGGAAGCGGUAGCUAAUACCGCAUAACGUCGCAAGACCAAAGAGGGGGACCUUCGGGCCUCUUGCCAUCGGAUGUGCCCAGAUGGGAUUAGCUAGUAGGUGGGGUAACGGCUCACCUAGGCGACGAUCCCUAGCUGGUCUGAGAGGAUGACCAGCCACACUGGAACUGAGACACGGUCCAG
rnacentral:rRNA from 1 species